rnacentral:rRNA from 1 species
AUUAGAUACCCUGGUAGUCCGCGCGGUAAACGAUGGAUGCCCGCUGUCGGCGAUAUACAGUCGGCGGCCAAGCGAAAGCGUUAAGCAUCCCACCUGGGGAGUACGCCGGCAACGGUGAAACUCAAAGGAAUUGACGGGGGCCCGCACAAGCGGAGGAACAUGUGGUUUAAUUCGAUGAUACGCGAGGAACCUUACCCGGGCUUGAAUUGCAGAGGAAAGAUCCAGAGAUGGUGAUGCCCUUCGGGGCCUCUGUGAAGGUGCUGCAUGGUUGUCGUCAGCUCGUGCCGUGAGGUGUCGGCUUAAGUGCCAUAACGAGCGCAACCCCUUUCCCUAGUUGCCAUCGGUUCUAGCCGGGCACUCUGGGGACACUGCCUCCGCAAGGAGUGAGGAAGGUGGGGAUGACGUCAAAUCAGCACGGCCCUUACGUCCGGGGCUACACACGUGUUACAAUGGGUGAUACAGAGGGCCGGCCGCUGGCAACAUCGGUCCAAUCCUUAAAGUCAUCCUCAGUUCGGACUGGGGUCUGCAACCCGACCCCACGAAGCUGGAUUCGCUAGUAAUCGCGCAUCAGCCAUGGCGCGGUGAAUACGUUCCCGGGCCUUGUACACACCGCCCGUCAAGCCAUGAAAGCCGGGGGCGCCUGAAGUCCGUGACCGCGAGGGUCGGCCUAGGGUGAAACCGGUGAUUGGGGCUAAGUCGUAACAA